rnacentral:rRNA from 1 species
AUGGCGAAGCUUCUUGGUCGAGAUUUCAGCAGGGCUUUGACAACAAUGCGAGGGACAUCCGGAUACCUUGCACCGGAGUGGAUAUCAGGACUGCCGAUCACAUGUAAGACUGAUGUUUACAGCUAUGGUAUGAUGCUUCUUGAAAUCAUAUCUGGUCGAAGGAAUGCGGAGAAAUUUAAGGAAGGGAAGUUCACAUACUUUCCUAUCUUUGCGGCAAUCAAGGUGAGUGAAGGAGAUGUUAUGUGUCUGCUGGACAGUAGGUUGGAAGGCCAGGCAGAUGUAGAGCAGCUGAGCAGAGCUUGCAAAAUCGCGUGCUGGUGCAUUCAAGAUGCCGAGGAUGAUAGGCCGAUGAUGGGACAAGUUGUUCACAUGCUGGAGAAUGUCAUGGAUGUGGAAAUCCCUCAUAUUCCAAGGUCGCUUGAAAAUUAUGUUGGCAUGGAGGAUUGCUCUUACUCUGCGAAACCAGAUAACUUGUUCUAA